AGGACGCUGACCUAGCAUUCUCCUCGGAGGAUCAUAAGAUGUUCGGAUCUCAGUUCGACUACUCUUAAAUAUCUCAAUAUAUCUGUGCCCUAUUCUCUCCUUGUGUUUCCCCAGAGCAUUUUCUGCUAUCUCCUUUGAAGCAAACUGCACGAAGGCCUCCCCUGUGCUUCUCCCCUGGUAGUCGACCGUCAAUCUUAUCCCAUUUGGCACGAUUCUCAACCCUGAGAAAAACUGUACAAUCUCCUCUUUGCUGCACCCAAAAGGUAGCCCUCGUAGCCGCACUGUUCCAUCAGUGGCCGUGUAAACAUCUCCAGUGCUAUUGUGUUUCAAAACCCAUUCCAUUUCUGUGUUAUUUGACUUGAACACUUCAAUGUAUCUGUGUCCCAUAUAUUUACAGUCUUUCUCCAAAGCCUUCUUAAGAUCGUCGUCUGUUUCCAGAAGAAUGAAAGCCUCCCCACUUGGACGUCCUUCUUUGGAUGUGGUGAAGUGAAUACCACUAAUUCCAUCAAGUAUGGCGCAGUCUGAAAAGAACUCUAGCACUUCUUCACGUGUGCAAGACCAUGGCAGGCCACGGACUCUUACAAUGUAUUCGUCUGACAUUAUUUCCUACAGUCCUGUGUGUGGCGAAUCAACUGCAGCGAGCGGUGAAGAAC